CCGAACAGCAUGGAGUGAGUGCCAGGCUGACACAACUAAUAGGUGUUGCCUUUUACCCACUCUGUGAACCUGCAAUGAUCCCUGUGAGAUGGAAACUAAAGAUUUCAUCCCUCCUGGACACAUCACUUUGGAGGAUGUUUCAAGAAGGGUAGAAGCACCUCAGUGGAAGAAAGAGUGGUUUACUGAAGUAAAUGGAACCUUUCAAGAGGACACCUUUAUAAUGCCAGAGAUAGGGAGAAAACGCAGAAAGUACUCAGACUGAAAAAGAUGUUCAGAAAGAAAAAAAAAAUUCUCUUCCAGGAAAUAAGCUCAUAUUACCAGAGUAAGCUCAGAAACAGUCUUAUCGAACGGGACUUUUUCCCUCAUACAGUACAGAGGAAACCAAUUCUGCUUUCUGCACACCUUCUCCAGUCCUUCCUUCAUCUCCACCAGCAGCCAUGGAGACCUGCCAACUGCAGACUGAAAAGGAAUCUUUCACCCAGUAGCUCAUCAGAGAAGAUCACAACCAUGAGCCAGUUGAGCAUAAACUAUUGCAGAACAAUACCCACAGCCUCCAUUUUCAGGAUGCAAAGAAGCAAAGAAAGGAAAUUCCCCAAAGUCUCCCGAUUCUGCUCAGAUUGAUGCCAUCCAUUUGCUUCCCUUUCAGGCAACUGCAGAGCGG
rnacentral:lncRNA from 1 species